UUCCCUGUAGCUCUGUUGGUAGAGCAUGGUGUUUGCAACACCAGGGUUGUGGGUUCAAUUCCAACAGGGGGGG
rfam:Salmo salar isolate Sally breed double haploid chromosome ssa01, whole genome shotgun sequence.